rnacentral:rRNA from 1 species
CUUUAUACUNGUGAAACUGCGUACAGCUCAUUAAAUCAGUAAUAAUUUAUUUGAUGGUCUCUUCUACAUGGAUAACCGUAGUAAUUCUAGAGCUAAUACAUGCGUAAAGUCCCGACUCGCGAGGGGAGGGAUGUAUUUAUUAGUUAAAAAACCAAUGCGAACCUCUGGUUCGGUCAUCUUGGUGAGUCAUAGUAACUGUUCGAAGCGCAUGGACUCGUUCCGGCGCUAGUUCAUUCAAAUUNCUGCCCUAUCAGCUU